AUUGAACGCUGGCGGCAUGCCUUACACAUGCAAGUCGAACGGCAGCACGGGUGCUUGCACCUGGUGGCGAGUGGCGAACGGAUGAGUAAUACAUCGGAACAUGUCCUGUAGUGGGGGAUAGCCCGGCGAAAGCCGGAUUAAUACCGCAUACGAUCUACGGAUGAAAGCGGGGGACCGUCGGGCCUCGCGCUAUAGGGUUGGCCGAUGGCUGAUUAGCUAGUUGGUGGGGUAAAGGCCUACCAAGGCGACGAUCAGUAGCUGGUCUGAGAGGACGACCAGCCACACUGGGACUGAGACACGGCCCAGACUCCUACGGGAGGCAGCAGUGGGGAAUUUUGGACAAUGGGCGAAAGCCUGAUCCAGCAAUGCCGCGUGUGUGAAGAAGGCCUUCGGGUUGUAAAGCACUUUUGUCCGGAAAGAAAUCCUUGGCUCUAAUACAGUCGGGGGAUGACGGUACCGGAAGAAUAAGCACCGGCUAACUACGUG
rnacentral:rRNA from 1 species